AUGCAAGUCGAACGAGUCUCUGGGGGGUAACUCCUAGAGGAAAGUGGCGAAAGGGGCAGUAAUGUAUGGGUAACCUACCUUGAGGUCUGGGAUAGCCAUUCUAACGGAUGGGUAAUACUGGACGGCCUGAAUUGUCGGCAUCGAUGAUUUAGUAAAGGUUACGCCUCGAGAGGGGCCCAUAUGAUAUUAGCUAGUUGGUGAGGUAAUGGCUCACCAAGGCAAAGAUGUCUAGCGGGUGUGAGAGCACGACCCGCGUCACUGGCACUGAGACACUGGCCAGACUCCUACGGGAGGCUGCAGUCGAGGAUCUUCGGCAAUGGACGAAAGUCUGACCGAGCAACGCCGCGUGUGCGAUGAAGGCCUUCGGGUUGUAAAGCACUGUCGAGGGGAAACAAGCCGUAAGGUUGAGUGACCCCUGGAGGAAGCACGGGCUAAGUUCGUGCCAGCAGCCGCGGUAAGACGAACCGUGCAAACGUUAUUCGGAAUCACUGGGCUUAAAGGGCGCGUAGGCGGGUAAUCAAGUCAAUGGUGAAAUCCUCCAGCUUAACUGGAGAAGUGCCUUUGAUACUGGUUGUCUAGAGGGAGGUAGGGGCAUGUGGAACUUCAGGUGGAGCGGUGAAAUGCGUAGAUAUCUGAAGGAACGCCAGUGGCGAAAGCGAUGUGCUGGACCUCUUCUGACGCUGAGGCGCGAAAGCUAGGGGAUCAAACGGGAUUAGAUACCCCGGUAGUC
rnacentral:rRNA from 1 species